CAAUAGCGUAUAUUAAAGCUGUUGCGGUUAAAAAGCUCGUAGUUGGAUUUCUGUCAAGUACAACUGGUCCGCCCUCCGGGUGAGCACAUAGUUUGGUCUUGGCAUCUUGCUGGAAAUUGUUGCUGCACUUGGCUGUGUGGCGCAGUGUCCAGCACUUUCACUUUGAGGAAAUUGGAGUGUUUCAAGCAGGCAAUGCCUUUGAACACAGUAGCAUGGAAUAAUUAGAUUGGGCUUUGGCUCCAAUUUGUCGGUUUCUGGAGCUGAGGUGAGAAUUAAUGGGGAUUGUUGGGGGCAUCCGAAUUUAGCCGUCAGAGGUGAAAUUCUUGGAUCGGCUAAAGACGGACAACUGCGAAAGCGUUUGCCCAGGAUGUUUUCAUUGA
rnacentral:rRNA from 1 species